UUGAAGAGUUUGAUCAUGGCUCAGAUUGAACGCUGGCGGCAGGCCUAACACAUGCAAGUCGAGCGGUAGCACAGAGAGCUUGCUCUCGGGUGACGAGCGGCGGACGGGUGAGUAAUGUCUGGGAAACUGCCUGAUGGAGGGGGAUAACUACUGGAAACGGUAGCUAAUACCGCAUAACGUCGCAAGACCAAAGAGGGGGACCUUCGGGCCUCUUGCCAUCAGAUGUGCCCAGAUGGGAUUAGCUAGUAGGUGGGGUAAUGGCUCACCUAGGCGACGAUCCCUAGCUGGUCUGAGAGGAUGACCAGCCACACUGGAACUGAGACACGGUCCAGACUCCUACGGGAGGCAGCAGUGGGGAAUAUUGCACAAUGGGCGCAAGCCUGAUGCAGCCAUGCCGCGUGUAUGAAGAAGGCCUUCGGGUUGUAAAGUACUUUCAGCGGGGAGGAAGGCGAUAAGGUUAAUAACCUUGUCGAUUGACGUUACCCGCAGAAGAAGCACCGGCUAACUCCGUGCCAGCAGCCGCGGUAAUACGGAGGGUGCAAGCGUUAAUCGGAAUUACUGGGCGUAAAGCGCACGCAGGCGGUCUGUCAAGUCGGAUGUGAAAUCCCCGGGCUCAACCUGGGAACUGCAUUCGAAACUGGCAGGCUAGAGUCUUGUAGAGGGGUAGAAUUCCAGGUGUAGCGGUGAAAUGCGUAGAGAUCUGGAGGAAUACCGGUGGCGAAGGCGGCCCCCUGGACAAAGACUGACGCUCAGGUGCGAAAGCGUGGGGAGCAAACAGGAUUAGAUACCCUGGUAGUCCACGCCGUAAACGAUGUCGACUUGGAGGUUGUGCCCUUGAGGCGUGGCUUCCGGAGCUAACGCGUUAAGUCGACCGCCUGGGGAGUACGGCCGCAAGGUUAAAACUCAAAUGAAUUGACGGGGGCCCGCACAAGCGGUGGAGCAUGUGGUUUAAUUCGAUGCAACGCGAAGAACCUUACCUACUCUUGACAUCCAGAGAACUUUCCAGAGAUGGAUUGGUGCCUUCGGGAACUCUGAGACAGGUGCUGCAUGGCUGUCGUCAGCUCGUGUUGUGAAAUGUUGGGUUAAGUCCCGCAACGAGCGCAACCCUUAUCCUUUGUUGCCAGCGGUCCGGCCGGGAACUCAAAGGAGACUGCCAGUGAUAAACUGGAGGAAGGUGGGGAUGACGUCAAGUCAUCAUGGCCCUUACGAGUAGGGCUACACACGUGCUACAAUGGCGCAUACAAAGAGAAGCGACCUCGCGAGAGCAAGCGGACCUCAUAAAGUGCGUCGUAGUCCGGAUUGGAGUCUGCAACUCGACUCCAUGAAGUCGGAAUCGCUAGUAAUCGUAGAUCAGAAUGCUACGGUGAAUACGUUCCCGGGCCUUGUACACACCGCCCGUCACACCAUGGGAGUGGGUUGCAAAAGAAGUAGGUAGCUUAACCUUCGGGAGGGCGCUUACCACUUUGUGAUUCAUGACUGGGGUGAAGUCGUAACAAGGUAACCGUAGGGGAACCUGCGGUUGGAUCACCUCCUU
rnacentral:rRNA from 1 species